rnacentral:tRNA from 9 species
GCGGGUGUAAUUCAGUGGUAGAAUGUCAGCUUCCCAAGCUGGACGUCGCCGGUUCGAAUCCGGUCACCCGCU